GGUAAAAGGCCCGUCAGGUUAAUAUAAAUCUAUAUUAACCAAAAAGUACUAAUAAGCAAUCUGACGCUCUUUAUAAAAAAUAUGCAUUUAUUCUACUUCAAGAGCAAACAAUAAUAUACAUAACAGAUGGUAUUUCUUAACGAUGUUACAGAGAGUGAGAGAUCUUAAGUACCGUAUUUAUCGGCGUAUAACACGCACUUUUUCUCCCUGAAAAUAGGGGAGAAAUUGUGGGUGCGUG